GACGAACGCUGGCGGCGUGCUUAACACAUGCAAGUCGAACGGAAAGGCCCUGCUUUUGUGGGGUGCUCGAGUGGCGAACGGGUGAGUAACACGUGAGUAACCUGCCCUUGACUUUGGGAUAACUUCAGGAAACUGGGGCUAAUGCCGGAUAGGAGCUCCUGCUGCAUGGUGGGGGUUGGAAAGUUUCGGCGGUUGGGGAUGGACUCGCGGCUUAUCAGCUUGUUGGUGGGGUAGUGGCUUACCAAGGCUUUGACGGGUAGCCGGCAUGAGAGGGUGACCGGCCACAUUGGGACUGAGAUACGGCCCAGACUCCUACGGGAGGCAGCAGUGGGGAAUAUUGCACAAUGGGCGGAAGCCUGAUGCAGCAACGCCGCGUGCGGGAUGACGGCCUUCGGGUUGUAAACCGCUUUCGCCUGUGACGAAGCGUGAGUGACGGUAAUGGGUAAAGAAGCACCGGCUAACUACGUG
rnacentral:rRNA from 1 species